rnacentral:lncRNA from 1 species
CCGGUCUCCGCCCCGGGGCUCCAGCUGCACGCGGGGAGCUGCGGCUGCUCUGGCAAAGGGGCCGCGGCUGCUUUAAGAGCCGCCUCCCCCUCUCCUCCUUUGACAAUGGUCUGAACCGAGCUCUGCUUCCCAAAGCAAAAUUUGUAAUAUGCCAUUUUUCCGAUGGACGCUUCUCCUUUUGGCUGCUGACGGAGCCACGGGAAGAUGCCGAGCUCCUGCCACGCCACCGGGCCGGGGCACGUUCCGGGAGGGCGCCGGGGCACGCGUGUGUCUGAGCUACCUUUCUCCUCCCGUUGCUAGGGAAAUGGUCCAGGAGUGCUGGGUGUGAGCCUCCCUUCUCCUCAAGCCGGAGACUGCGGUUGUCAUUGAUCAAUUGAAGAAGCAAGGACCCGAAAUCACAGACAUUAGCAAUGAUGUGUGAAGUGAUGCCCACGAUUAAUGAGGACACCCCAAUGAGCCAAAGGGGGUCCCAAAGCAGUGGCUCGGACUCAGACUCUCAUUUUGAGCAGCUGAUGGUGAAUAUGCUAGAUGAAAGGGAUCGUCUUCUAGACACCCUUCGGGAGACCCAGGAAAGCCUCUCACUUGCCCAGCAGAGACUUCAGGAUGUCAUCUAUGACCGAGACUCACUCCAGAGACAGCUCAAUUCAGCCCUGCCACAGGAUAUCGAAUCCUUAACAGGAGGGCUGGCUGGUUCUAAGGGGGCUGAUCCACCGGUAAGUUAGAUUCUUCAUUAAAUUUAACCGUUGACGAAUUGAAUUGUGUACACA